rnacentral:rRNA from 1 species
AACGAACGCUGGCGGCAGGCUUAACACAUGCAAGUCGAGCGCCCCGCAAGGGGAGCGGCAGACGGGUGAGUAACGCGUGGGAAUCUACCCAUCUCUACGGAAUAACGCAUGGAAAAGUGUGCUAAUACCGUAUACGUCCUUCGGGAGAAAGAUUUAUCGGAGAUGGAUGAGCACGCGUUGGAUUAGCUAGUUGGUGGGGUAAAGGCCUACCAAGGCGACGAUCCAUAGCUGGUCUGAGAGGAUGAUCAGCCACACUGGGACUGAGACACGGCCCAGACUCCUACGGGAGGCAGCAGUGGGGAAUAUUGGACAAUGGGCGCAAGCCUGAUCCAGCCAUGCCGCGUGAGUGAUGGAGGCCCUAGGGUUGUAAAGCUCUUUCACCGGUGAAGAUAAUGACGGUAACCGGAGAAGAAGCCCCGGCUAACUUCGUGCCAGCAGCCGCAGUAACAC